UAAGGAACUUGCCUCUUGGUCUGGGACAACUGUUGGAAACGACAGCUAAUACCGGAUAUUAUGAGAUUCUCGCAUGGGAAACUUAUGAAAGCUAUAUGCGCCAAGAGAGAGCCUUGCGUUCCAUUAGCUAGUUGGUGGGGUAACGGCCCACCAAGGCGACGAUGGAUAGCCGGCCUGAGAGGGUGAACGGCCACAAGGGGACUGAGACACGGCCCUUACUCCUACGGGAGGCAGCAGUGGGGAAUAUUGGACAAUGGGCCACAAGCCUGAUCCAGCAAUUCUGUGUGCACGAUGAAGGUCUUCGGAUUGUAAAGUGCUUUCAGUUGGGAAGAAGAAAGUGACGGUACCAACAGAAGAAGCGACGGCUAAAUACGUGCCAGCAGCCGCGGUAAUACGUAUGUCGCAAGCGUUAUCCGGAUUUAUUGGGCGUAAAGCGCGUCUAGGCGGAAAAAUAAGUCUGAUGUUAAAAUGCGGGGCUCAACUCCGUAUUGCGUUGGAAACUGUUUUUCUAGAGUACUGGAGAGGUGGGCGGAACUACAAGUGUAGAGGUGAAAUUCGUAGAUAUUUGUAGGAAUGCCGAUGGAGAAGUCAGCUCACUGGACAGAUACUGACGCUAAAGCGCGAAAGCGUGGGGAGCAAACAGGAUUAGAUACCCUGGUAGUCCACGCCGUAAACGACGAUCACUAGGUGUUGGGGGU
rnacentral:rRNA from 1 species